GAUGAACGCUGGCGGCGUGCUUAACACAUGCAAGUCGAACGAUUAAGGCGGCUUCGGCCGCGUAUAGAGUGGCGAACGGGUGAGUAACACGUGACCAACCUGCCCCGCGCUCCGGGACAACCGCUGGAAACGGCGGCUAAUACCGGAUGCUCCGGGGAGGCCCCAUGGCCUCCCCGGGAAAGCCUUAACGGCGCGGGAUGGGGUCGCGGCCCAUUAGGUGGACGGCGGGGUAACGGCCCACCGUGCCCG
rnacentral:rRNA from 1 species